GCACUACUGAAGAGUCCCAUAAUAGGACGAAACGGCCGUCCAGUGU
rnacentral:hammerhead_ribozyme from 1 species